AAUAAUUCUAAACCAGACACAACGAGUCGACAUGUAUGUUUACGAUGGAUUCGAUACGACUACGACAUGGAAAUGUGGUAUAUUCUUGUGGGAAUUCUGAAAAAACUUACCCAGCUUGUAACUAAACGGGUGAUGUCAGUUAAACUACACUCCCAUGAUAAAUCAAUAACUUCCCUUUCUUAAACCCGUCUCUCAGUUUUCAACCGCCAUUGUAUUUUUAUUACCUUCUCUUUGCCGAAUGUUUUGCUCUCAAGCAACACAGAACACAGGCGACGGUUUAAUGACACCGUUUCAGCUCCUCAGAUUAGAAUUCCUCAACCAUUCGCCAUUCGGUGCUCUGGAGACACGGGCUGAGAUAAAUCCCAUGUUUGACUGCCAUCUUUAGGGGAUCUGGAAAACUGUCCUUAAGGGGCACAUAUAUAUUUAAUAUCUUGAAGUUUAUCCAGGUUUUUCAUUAUGGACUGAAGUAGUCACUUACUAAAAUUAUAUUUAAAAAUACUUUUGAUAAUUUUACCUAUGUGAAAUGAAAGAAGCUGUUUUAGUGUUUUUGUCACACUUUAUAUUAAGCCUACAGUACAUGUUACCAUAUAGGCUAGCUACUACUGAGUAGCAUUAUGUACAACAUAAUGUAUAAUAUGUAGCCUAAUAUUUAUAAACAUUAUGUAGCCUAUGUCAUAUUUAAUCAUUCUUUUUUGGAGCACCCAUUGUUUAUUGUUGUAAUUAAUUAUUUUAAUGUGUAGGAUAAAAUAUGAAGGCUAACAAAAACAGCUAAGUGUAUUAAGCGUUGCGUGUAGGUUAUAGCUAGCCUAUUGCCAAUGCACAGCUAUACCGUACAUCAAAGAUAUGAAUUUUAAUAAAUGUAGUAGGCUUAGUAGGCCUAUCAGACAUUAGGCCUACAUACAGAACAUUCGUUUAGAAAUAUCGGCUUGCUGUUAGUUCUGUUCUUCCUGCUGGGUAAGUAGCUAAGUUUCAUAAUGAGCGUUUCGUGACCUUUGCAAAUGAACAUGAUUAUUGAUUUUCUUCAUUUAUCCGCAGUCAACGACAUAUAAAGACGACGCCUUUUCCAUCUGUUGUUUAAGAAGAAAGAAGAAAGCUUUUAUCUGGCUUUGACCACAUACUGAACUCUGUCACCACGGCUGCAGCUUACGAAGGACAAGAGCCGGCAAAGCAGCCUCGGAUGUCAGUGAAAGGUGCGCCAGCCCGGCUCCCAUCUUCACCUGAGCUCUCUACACAUGGAAUCCCCAUCGUGCAGGAACUUUAGUGAUUGAGAGGUUUUUUGGACUUUCGGAACCCCAAGGGAGAGGUCAGUGGGCCAGAACACACUAGUGCGGACAGAGGGAGUUGCCCG